AAGGGCACCACCAGGAGUGGAGCCUGCGGCUUAAUUUGACUGACACGGGAAAACUCACCCGGCCCGGACACCGUAAAGAUUGACGUAUUAAGAGCUACUUCUCGAUUCGGUGGGUGGUGGUGCAUGGCCGUUCUUAAUUGGUGGAGCGAUUUGUCUGGUUGAUUCCGAUCACGAACGAGACUCUAGCCUGCUAAAUAGGCGUUCGAUUACCGGCCGGCUAUCCGUGGGUUGGGCUUUAGCGUGCUUCGGUGCGCGGGUCCUUCUCGCGGGAGUCGGCAUCUUCCAACGAAGUUUUAAUACAACUUCUUAGAGGGACGGGCGGCGUCUAGCCGCACGAGAUUGAGCGAUAACAGGUCUGUGAUGCCCUUAGAUGUCCGGGGCCGCACGCGCGCUACACUGAACGAGUCAACGUGCGUGUUGACCCUGUCCGAAAGGAUCGGGCAACCCGUUGAACCUUCUUCGUGAUGGGGAUUGGGGAUUGCAAUUAUUCCCCAUGAACGAGGAAUUCCCAGUAGGCGC
rnacentral:rRNA from 1 species